UGAGUAGCCUGCCCUUAACUCUGGGAUAAGCCUGGGAGACUGGGUCUAAUACCGGAUAUGACUCCUCAUCGCAUGGUGGGGGGUGGAAAGCUUUUUGUGGUUUUGGACGGACUCGCGGCCUAUCAGCUUGUUGGUGAGGUAAUGGCUCACCAAGGCGACGACGGGUAGCCGGCCUGAGAGGGUGACCGGCCACACUGGGACUGAGACACGGCCCAGACUCCUACGGGAGCAG
rnacentral:rRNA from 1 species